rnacentral:siRNA from 1 species
ACGUCUGCCUGGGUGUCACA